rnacentral:rRNA from 1 species
AUUGAACGCUGGCGGAAUGCUUUACACAUGCAAGUCGAACGGCAGCACGGACUUCGGUCUGGUGGCGAGUGGCGAACGGGUGAGUAACAUAUCGGAACGUAUCCAAUAAUGGGGGAUAACUAAUCGAAAGGUUGGCUAAUACCGCAUACGCCCUACGGGGGAAAGCUAGGGACCUUCGGGCCUGGCGUUAAUGGAGCGGCCGAUAUCUGAUUAGCUAGUUGGUGAGGUAAAGGCUCACCAAGGCGACGAUCAGUAGCUGGUCUGAGAGGACGACCAGCCACACUGGAACUGAGACACGGUCCAGACUCCUACGGGAGGCAGCAGUGGGGAAUUUUGGACAAUGGGCGCAAGCCUGAUCCAGCCAUUCCGCGUGAGUGAAGAAGGCCUUCGGGUUGUAAAGCUCUUUCGCAAGGGAAGAAAACUUACCCUCUAACAUAGGGUGAGGUUGACGGUACCUUGAUAAGAAGCACCGGCUAACUACGUGCCAGCAGCCGCAGUAA